rnacentral:tRNA from 1 species
GGGUUGGCUCAGUGGUAGAGCACUUGCCUGGCAGGCAUGAGGUCCUGGGUUCAAUCCCCAUCCCA